AUACUUACCUGGCAGGGGAGAACCCAUGAUUCCUGAAGGUGGUUUUCCAUUGGGAAGUUCAUUCACUAUACUCUAGAUGUGAUGACCCCUGUGACUUCCUCAAAUAGGAAACUUAAAUGCAUAAUUUGUGGUAGUGGAGGACUGAGUUCAUACUCUCUCCUGAA
rnacentral:snRNA from 1 species